UGCUGUAUUCGAUGAGGCAUCCGCGUUAUCUGUUGUGUAAAAUGAUUAUUUUUUGCAGUGGUGGUUAUGUAUCGUCAGAUGUUUAGCAUAACAUUAACCUGAGCUGUUUUUAACGUUUUGUUUUUUUUGUAAGUAAAGUAUUAACAGACUAGAAUACAUUGAGAUUUGCCCCUUUCUUCGGAAAUACGAAUUCAUGUUAGUUGGCAGUUUUCUAAAGAUAUGGAACCUCGUGCUCCUCAGUCUUAGCAAGUAAAUUUUCAGAUAAAUAGAAUGACAAGCUACAUAAAUAAUUAAUUGUAGCUUUAUAUAGUUAUUUUGGUUAACAAUAGCUGUCUGUGGGAAAUUUGGAGAUAACAGAUCAAAAUAUGUAAAUAUGUUUUGUCAGCUAGUAAUCUAAUGUAUAUUUUUGUGACUGUAGAUUCCAGAAAGGUCAAAGCAAGGCCAACCAGGAUGAGAUGAAAAUGUGUAUCAAGAAUUCAACCAUAUAGUUAGUAAGAAUUAUAUUGGUCUCUUGAUCAUCACUGCCCACAGCUGAUUCAGAUCUUCUGGUCACAGAGAGGUCUCACUGGACAGAUUUCUAUCUUCUACAAGCUGUCAAG
rnacentral:lncRNA from 1 species